rnacentral:rRNA from 1 species
GAUGAACGCUGGCGGCGUGCCUAAUACAUGCAAGUCGAGCGAAUGGAUUAAGAGCUUGCUCUUAUGAAGUUAGCGGCGGACGGGUGAGUAACACGUGGGUAACCUGCCCAUAAGACUGGGAUAACUCCGGGAAACCGGGGCUAAUACCGGAUAACAUUUUGAACCGCAUGGUUCGAAAUUGAAAGGCGGCUUCGGCUGUCACUUAUGGAUGGGCCCGCGUCGCAUUAGCUAGUUGGUGAGGUAACGGCUCACCAAGGCAACGAUGCGUAGCCGACCUGAGGGGGUGAUAGGCCACACUGGGACGGAGACACGGCCCAGACUCCUACGGGAGGCAGCAGGAGGGAAUCUUCCGCAAUGGACGAAAGUCUGACGGAGCAAUGCCGCGUGAGUGAUGAAGGCUUUCGGGUCGUAAAACUCUGUUGUUAGGGAAGAACAAGUGCUAGUUGAAUAAGCUGGCACCUUGACGGUACCUAACCAGAAAGCCACGACUAACUACGUGCCAGCCGCCGCAGUAA